GACAGAGGGUGCAAACGUUGUUCGGAAUUACUGGGCGUAAAGCGAGUGUAGGCGGUCUGAUAAGUCGGGUGUGAAAGCCCUGGGCUCAACCCAGGAAGUGCACUCGAAACUGCCAGGCUAGAGUAUCGGAGAGGUUGGUGGAAUUCUCGGUGUAGAGGUGAAAUUCGUAGAUAUCGAGAGGAACACCGGUGGCGAAGGCGGCCAACUGGACGAAUACUGACGCUGAGACUCGAAAGCGUGGGGAGCAAACAGG
rnacentral:rRNA from 1 species